UUAAGUGACUAAGCGUACACGGUGGAUGCCCUGGCAGUCAGAGGCGAUGAAGGACGUGCUAAUCUGCGAAAAGCGUCGGUAAGGUGAUAUGAACCGUUAUAACCGGCGAUGUCCGAAUGGGGAAACCCAGUGCAAUUCGUUGCACUAUCGUUAACUGAAUACAUAGGUUAACGAGGCGAACCGGGGGAACUGAAACAUCUAAGUACCCCGAGGAAAAGAAAUCAACCGAGAUUCCCCCAGUAGCGGCGAGCGAACGGGGAGCAGCCCAGAGUCUGAAUCAGCUUGUGUGUUAGUGGAACGGUCUGGAAAGUCCGACGGUACAGGGUGAUAGUCCCGUACACCAAAAUGCACAGGUUGUGAACUCGAAGAGUAGGGCGGGACACGUGGUAUCCUGUCUGAAUAUGGGGGGACCAUCCUCCAAGGCUAAAUACUCCUGACUGACCGAUAGUGAACCAGUACCGUGAGGGAAAGGCGAAAAGAACCCCGGCGAGGGGAGUGAAAAAGAACCUGAAACCGUGUACGUACAAGCAGUGGGAGCACCUUCGGGUGUGACUGCGUACCUUUUGUAUAAUGGGUCAGCGACUUAUAUUCUGUAGCAAGGUUAACCGUAUAGGGGAGCCGCAGGGAAACCGAGUCUUAACUGGGCGUUAAGUUGCAGGGUAUAGACCCGAAACCCGGUGAUCUAGCCAUGGGCAGGUUGAAGGUUGGGUAACACUAACUGGAGGACCGAACCGACUAAUGUUGAAAAAUUAGCGGAUGACUUGUGGCUGGGGGUGAAAGGCCAAUCAAACCGGGAGAUAGCUGGUUCUCCCCGAAAGCUAUUUAGGUAGCGCCUCGUGAACUCAUCUUCGGGGGUAGAGCACUGUUUCGGCUAGGGGGUCAUCCCGACUUACCAACCCGAUGCAAACUACGAAUACCGAAGAAUGUUAUCACGGGAGACACACGGCGGGUGCUAACGUCCGUCGUGAAGAGGGAAACAACCCAGACCGCCAGCUAAGGUCCCAAAGUCAUGGUUAAGUGGGAAACGAUGUGGGAAGGCACAGACAGCCAGGAUGUUGGCUUAGAAGCAGCCAUCAUUUAAAGAAAGCGUAAUAGCUCACUGGUCGAGUCGGCCUGCGCGGAAGAUGUAACGGGCUAAACCAUGCACCGAAGCUGCGGCAGCGACACUAUGUGUUGUUGGGUAGGGGAGCGUUCUGUAAGCCUGCGAAGGUGACCUGUGAGGGUUGCUGGAGGUAUCAGAAGUGCGAAUGCUGACAUAAGUAACGAUAAAGCGGGUGAAAAGCCCGCUCGCCGGAAGACCAAGGGUUCCUGUCCAACGUUAAUCGGGGCAGGGUGAGUCGACCCCUAAGGCGAGGCCGAAAGGCGUAGUCGAUGGGAAACAGGUUAAUAUUCCUGUACUUGGUGUUACUGCGAAGGGGGGACGGAGAAGGCUAUGUUAGCCGGGCGACGGUUGUCCCGGUUUAAGCAUGUAGGCUGGUUGUCCAGGCAAAUCCGGAUAAUCAAGGCUGAGGUGUGAUGACGAGGCACUACGGUGCUGAAGUAACAAAUGCCCUGCUUCCAGGAAAAGCCUCUAAGCAUCAGGUAACAUUAAAUCGUACCCCAAACCGACACAGGUGGUCAGGUAGAGAAUACCAAGGCGCUUGAGAGAACUCGGGUGAAGGAACUAGGCAAAAUGGUGCCGUAACUUCGGGAGAAGGCACGCUGGUGUGUAGGUGAAGUCCCUGCGGAUGGAGCUGAGACCAGUCGAAGAUACCAGCUGGCUGCAACUGUUUAUUAAAAACACAGCACUGUGCAAACACGAAAGUGGACGUAUACGGUGUGACGCCUGCCCGGUGCCGGAAGGUUAAUUGAUGGGGUUAUCCGUAAGGAGAAGCUCUUGAUCGAAGCCCCGGUAAACGGCGGCCGUAACUAUAACGGUCCUAAGGUAGCGAAAUUCCUUGUCGGGUAAGUUCCGACCUGCACGAAUGGCGUAAUGAUGGCCAGGCUGUCUCCACCCGAGACUCAGUGAAAUUGAACUCGCUGUGAAGAUGCAGUGUACCCGCGGCAAGACGGAAAGACCCCGUGAACCUUUACUAUAGCUUGACACUGAACAUUGAGCCUUGAUGUGUAGGAUAGGUGGGAGGCUUUGAAGCGUGGACGCCAGUCUGCGUGGAGCCAACCUUGAAAUACCACCCUUUAAUGUUUGAUGUUCUAACGUUGGCCCCUUACCGGGGUUGCGGACAGUGUCUGGUGGGUAGUUUGACUGGGGCGGUCUCCUCCCAAAGCGUAACGGAGGAGCACGAAGGUUAGCUAAUCCUGGUCGGACAUCAGGAGGUUAGUGCAAUGGCAUAAGCUAGCUUGACUGCGAGCGUGACGGCGCGAGCAGGUGCGAAAGCAGGUCAUAGUGAUCCGGUGGUUCUGAAUGGAAGGGCCAUCGCUCAACGGAUAAAAGGUACUCCGGGGAUAACAGGCUGAUACCGCCCAAGAGUUCAUAUCGACGGCGGUGUUUGGCACCUCGAUGUCGGCUCAUCACAUCCUGGGGCUGAAGUAGGUCCCAAGGGUAUGGCUGUUCGCCAUUUAAAGUGGUACGCGAGCUGGGUUUAGAACGUCGUGAGACAGUUCGGUCCCUAUCUGCCGUGGGCGCUGGAGAAUUGAGGGGGGCUGCUCCUAGUACGAGAGGACCGGAGUGGACGCAUCACUGGUGUUCGGGUUGUCAUGCCAAUGGCACUGCCCGGUAGCUAAAUGCGGAAGAGAUAAGUGCUGAAAGCAUCUAAGCACGAAACUUGCCCCGAGAUGAGUUCUCCCUGAGACUUUAAGUCUCCUGAAGGAACGUUGAAGACGACGACGUUGAUAGGCCGGGUGUGUAAGCGCAGCGAUGCGUUGAGCUAACCGGUACUAAUGAACCGUGAGGCUUAACCU
rnacentral:rRNA from 1 species